GUGCUUGCCUUGGCAGCAUAUACACUGAAAUUGGAACAUGAGCAAAAAGAUUAGCCUGCUGCCUGGGCAAGGAUGGCAUGCAAAUUUGUCAAGCCUUAAAGAUUUUU